GCGAUCAUACCAGCACUAAUGCACCGGAUUCCAUCAGAACUCCGCAGUUAAACGUGCUUGGGCGAGAGUAGUACUAGGAUGGGUGGCCUCCUGGGAAGUCCUCGUGUUGCACCCC
rnacentral:rRNA from 1 species